rnacentral:lncRNA from 1 species
GAGAGAGUGCAAAUGAGGGCAAAGAGGGUCCCCAGGGCUGGACUUGUUCAAACCUUAGAAUAACUCACAGGAUCAAGAGGUCUAAAAUAGGAGACAGAGAACAGAACAAAAGCAAAAUCUGGAAGCAAAUUACAGAAAUGUAUUUAGUUUGUUAUUUAGUGAGAUUUUGGCUUGCUGAAAUGUCUGUAUAAGCAUUAUUAUCGAUAUAUUUGAUAAUGAGUGCCAUGCUUAGCCUACUAAUGAGUAUAAUUAAUGUAGAUCAUGCCUAUUUGGGAGUGAAGCCUGGCAUCUUCUUUUUGGAAGACUAAAGGUUUUAGUAAAAGUAGAAAUUCUGUUUUGUCUAGUAUCAAUGCUAUCAACCAAAAUUAAGGGAGUAUAAAAUAGCUAGCUAGAUAACUGAGGCUUAGUGAUGUAACUGGAUGAUUUAGUGGUUUAGAAUUUGUUGGGUUUUGGAUUUAUAGUGCCUGGGUUCAAAUCUUGGAAUUCCUACCUGAGGAACUUCAGGGAUAACACUGGCAAUAAUCAAAGCAAGUCCACUACCAGGUAUGUACUGUUAUUACCAUCAUUUUAUGAUAAGAAGACUGAAUCUCAGAGAUCACUCUGAGGCCAAACAGUCCAGCUUCACAUUAUAAGUGAAAGUUCAUUAUGACCUAAUCCUGACCUAUCAGAGAACAAAACCACAAGAGAAUGAAUUUAUACCAUCUCUUGGCAAAAAUGGGAUCAAGGAUGAUAAGGCAAGAAGGCCCUUGCUUAUGCUGACACUGUGAACUUGGACUUUGAAGACUCCAGAACUGAGGACCUUUCCUGGAUAAGUCCUGAAGAAAGUGAUGGAAAAAGAUGCCACAGAACCAAACCUUAUUCAGCACUGUGGCUUCCUCCUCUGCUCAGCUCUCAUCUGAGUGUGCAUCCUGCCACCCAGAAGUACUAGCCUUUCCUUUCUCCUGUGUCUGGUUACAACCUGCUUCCUCACUAUAUUUUAAUAUGUUAAAUCAAAAAAUCAAAAAAUAGGAAAUGACAGACUUACCUGUGUGGCAUAUCCUAGGAAUAUCUAACUAUGGAACAUAAUUAGAAAUAACUUUUAUAAAAGUUGCAUGACUUGGAGGAGUGGAACCACUUGGAGCCCUCUGGCUGCACUGCCCCCUUGUGGGCCUCCCAGCCAGGGGUGCACCCAUGAGGAGUGGAGCCACACAGGCACCUGCAGCACCACUCCAGCCCCAGCCCUUCCCUGCGUUUGGCCUCCUGGUUGUGCCUGUACCUGGAUCCACAGCCCAGAGGCACAGCGGAGUCAUAAAGGCCAUUGUCCUGAGCUCCAGAAGAUAGAUCAGAAGUGAACAACAGAAAGAGGGUCUUUUGUCAGGCUCCUUGACAAUUCAAGCCCACUGGAAAAGUGAAGAGAAUCUCUGCAAUAAAGGCACACCAGACCACCAUAUUUGGUAAAUUGGAGGGAUCACCACCUCCUAUCAGAACCUGGACUAUCUUCAGGGGAAGAGCAGCUG